rnacentral:rRNA from 1 species
GAUGAACGCUGGCGGCGUGCCUAAUACAUGCAAGUCGAGCGGAGCGGGGACGGGGGAGUAAAACGAGGAUAACCUCCUAUAAGACUGGGAUAACUUAGGGAAACAGGAGAUAGACCGGAUACAUAGAGAUGGAUCCGAGCUGCAUUAGCUAGUUGGUGAUGUAACGGCUUACCAAGGCAACGAUGUAUAGCCGACCUGAGAGGUUGAUCGGCCCCACUGGAACUGAGACACGGUCCAGUCUCCUACGGGAGGCAGCAGUAGGGAAUCUUCCGCAAUGGGCGAAAGCCUGACUGAGCAACGCCGCGUGAGUGAUGAAGGCCUUCGGAUCGUAAAACUCUGUUAUUAGGGAAGCGGUACCUACUCAGAAAGCCACGGCUAACUACGUGCCAGCCGCCGCGGUAAUUC